UAAUCAUUGAAAAUGGGUCCAACAAAAACAUAAGCAUCAGCAGACUCCACAAUCUCACCGCAGAAGGUGGUGCUCACAGCACCCCAAUAAGUCCCAAUGAAAUGCGGGUGGUGCUCGGGCACCAAACCCUUAGCAGAGGGCAUAACAGUGAUCGGGUACCCGCUAGCAUCUGCAAACUCCAUAAAGGCCUGCUGUGCCUUGGCUACUCUCAACUUGGGCCCUCCGACAAUCACGGGUUUCACAGCCUUGUUGAGAAAAGCAGCGGUGGCUUCAACUGCUGCCUCCAAACCACAUUGGUUGCUUACUUUCGGAGCAAGGAAGAAGGGGACCGGGUCUCUGGCAAAUGUGGGAUGAGGAAUUGCAGGCAGGUUGCAGCCUAGGUUGAUGUAUACAGGCU
rnacentral:lncRNA from 1 species